CUCCUGCGGGGCGCAGCAGCCGCGGUAAUACGUAGGGAGCGAGCGUUAUCCGGAUUUAUUGGGUGUAAAGGGUGCGUAGACGGGAAAAUAAGUUAGUUGUGAAAUCCCUCGGCUCAACUGAGGAACUGCAACUAAAACUAUUUUUCUUGAGUGCAGGAGAGGAAAGUGGAAUUCCUAGUGUAGCGGUGAAAUGCGUAGAUAUUAGGAGGAACACCAGUGGCGAAUGCGACUUUCUGGACUGUAACUGACGUU
rnacentral:rRNA from 1 species